UGAGGAAUAUUGGUCAAUGGGCGAGAGCCUGAACCAGCCAAGUAGCGUGCAGGAUGACGGCCCUAUGGGUUGUAAACUGCUUUUGUAUGGGGAUAAAGUCAAUCACGUGUGAUUGUUUGCAGGUACCAUACGAAUAAGGACCGGCUAAUUCCGUGCCAGCAGCCGCGGUAAUACGGAAGGUCCGGGCGUUAUCCGGAUUUAUUGGGUUUAAAGGGAGCGUAGGCUGGAGAUUAAGUGUGUUGUGAAAUGUAGACGCUCAACGUCUGACUUGCAGCGCAUACUGGUUUCCUUGAGUACGCACAACGUUGGCGGAAUUCGUCGUGUAGCGGUGAAAUGCUUAGAUAUGACGAAGAACUCCGAUUGCGAAGGCAGCUGACGGGAGCGCAACUGACGCUGAAGCUCGAAGGUGCGGGUAUCGAACAGGAUUAGAUACCCUGGUAGUCCGCACAGUAAACGAUGGAUGCCCGCUGUUGGUACCUGGUAUCAGCGGCUAAGCGAAAGCAUUAAGCAUCCCACCUGGGGAGUACGCCNANCAACGGUG
rnacentral:rRNA from 1 species